UACGUAGGUGGCGAGCGUUGUCCGGAAUUAUUGGGCGUAAAGCGCGCGCAGGUGGUUAUACAAGUCUUUCUUAAAAGUUCCGGGCUCAACCCGGUGAUGGGGGAGAAACUGUAUGGCUUGAGUGCAGGAGGGGCAGGCGGAAUUCCCAGUGUAGCGGUGAAAUGCGUAGAUAUUGGGAGGAACACCAGUGGCGAAGGCGGCCUGCUGGACUGAUACUGACACUGAGGCGCGAAAGCCAGGGGAGC
rnacentral:rRNA from 1 species